rnacentral:rRNA from 1 species
CCUACGGGGUGCAGCAGUGAGGAAUAUUGGUCAAUGGACGCAAGUCUGAACCAGCCAUGCCGCGUGCAGGAAGACGGCUCUAUGAGUUGUAAACUGCUUUUGUACGAGGGUAAACGCAGAUACGCGUAUCUGUCUGAAAGCAUCGUACGAAUAAGGAUCGGCUAACUCCGUGCCAGCAGCCGCGGUAAUACGGAGGAUUCAAGCGUUAUCCGGAUUUAUUGGGUUUAAAGGGUGCGUAGGCGGUCGGAUAAGGUAGAGGGGAAAUCCCGAGGCUCAACUUCGGAAUUGCCUCUGAUACUGUUCGGCUAGAGAGUAGGUGCGGUAGGCGGAAUGUAUGGUGUAGCGGUGAAAUGCUUAGAGAUCAUACAGAACACCGAUUGCGAAGGCAGCUUACCAAGCUACUUCUGACGUUGAGGCACGAAAGCGUGGGGAGCAAACAGGAUUAGAUACCCCUGUAGUC